GCCCCGGCUCCCCCGCCUCACCUCGCUCGAUGUUGGUGAUGGCCCGCCGCAGGUGCUCCUCGGUCACCAGCUCGCCGAUGACCACCAGCAGCUUCUUACAGUGCUGGGAGUGCAAAUUCUCUGCCUACUGCCGAGGAGAAGAGUGCUUGCCUGGAUGAGCCAGUAAAUCAGCCUUGUCUUCUUCAUAUUUUGUUCCAGGGCACAGUGGACUAAUUCGCAUGCAUUUCAGGUUGUCACUCCUAAAUUUCUUCUGUCUUGCUAGCCUAGGGGCUACAAAGGUUAGAACAGCAUCAUUUUAAGUGCUGGUCCAUAGUGUUGUAUCUGUCUAUAGCACCUAGUGGUUUUGAUAUGAAUAGUUCCUCUGCAUAAAUACAGCACUCAGAGUCUUGGCUUACACAGUGUGGUGUAUUUGGAUGUUGCAUCCAAAGUACUUUUCCUGAACUGCCGUUAUUCUGAAGGUUGUGGAGUGCGGACAAGCGUUUUCACAGCCAUGUCAGGCGGCUUAGAUGACACAGUGGUAUAGAGCAGCAGUGCUCAUUCUUCACUGGAGCUGACACUGCUGAUAGAGCAAAUACAAUGGCAUAGAUGCAGAAGAGCUAGCAGCAGUUUUAAGGUUUGCAAGGUAUUCAAAGGCACAGUGUGUUCCUCUUGAGAUACCCCUGCUAAUCUGGGCCCCACUGUGACUUUGCUCUUUCCUCUCAGUUUCCAUGGGAUGGUGUAGAGGCCUACUUUGAAAUAAUGUCCAUUCCCUGUAGCCUUUCCCUAUACAACCCCCUUCCUAAUAAUUUAUCAUAAUUAUAGAUACUUUCAAGACUUGCCAUGUGGUACCCACUGGAGAAAGCCAGCUUCAGGCUUCUGUCACUGCAAUCUGUAGUUUUGGGAUAUGCCUUUAUGCCAACCACCAGCAAGAGCAGCUAGUCUCUCAAGCAUGGAAGGGGCUUGCCAAGGGGUCUUGGCAGCUGGUUGCAGAGUAGACAGAUGCUGGCUCCUGGACAUAAACAUAAAACAAUUACUUACCUCACAACGCAACAGAUUAGUCAGAGAAAUGCACAUCAGUACUCAAAAGGCGCUGUAUGUACUUUUAACCACUUUGUUAUUUUAAGGAAAUAGCUGGAAAGAUGCCUGUGAAUUUGAAAAUCAAGCUGGAAAGAAUGCAUUUUCUCAGAGAAUAAAAUUCUUACAUACAGGUAGGUGAUACAGUUACAUUUGAAAUAGCCUGCUCAGCUAGUCCUCUAUUUUAUACUGCAGUGUGAAAUACCACGUAGUUAGAACAUCGUAUGAUAAAAGAUGAACUGUUACAGUCAAAUUGUCUUGUGAUGGGUGAUGUGUCACCCAUUAAAACCCUAUGGACAAGAGGUUGUCUUUGAAAAAAAAGAGUCUUGUGCUAACCUCUUCAAAGGACGCAGACCUCUAGCCUUGUCUGUUCACAAGCAUAUGCUGCCCCAUCUGGGAUGGAAGGUAAAUGGGAAAGGUGCUUUAUCCUUCAGAACAUAUCUCUGAGGAAGCUGUCCUGUGACCCCCACUGCUUGAGAGUGAUACCACCUGCCUAUCUGCAGCUCAAUCACAGAGCUAUGCCCCUUCAGUAGAAGAAACAGCAACAUUCAUGGACUGUGGAAUAUAUCUUACUGUUUCAAAGAGACAAUGAUUGAGAUCUGCACCUGUCUAGCUUUUGAUUGUCUUGGUUUGUUUUAUUGCUUUAUUAUGUUCAAUACCAAAAUUGAGUCCCACAGCUGAAUGUGGUCAAAUAUUAUAUGCAAAGCUGUAUUUUUUAGAUGUUGUAUUUUUUAAAGAGGCAGUUUAAAUAAAGUGAUGAAGUUUAAAACAUG